rnacentral:pre_miRNA from 1 species
UUUAGAACUUGAGAUAUGGGCUGAACAUUGAACAGUGUCUAAGCUGCAGGAAAUAUUCUGACAUCUUCGUUGUUGUUAAGAUUUAGACUUCCAAAUAGCAGAAUUGAGUCUUGGACUCCCAUGAAUGGUUUAAGCCUAUGUCUUAGCUUUCUAGC